rnacentral:lncRNA from 1 species
GGCACCAGUUCUGCUCAACGGGGUGACCAGGGAGGAUGCGUUGAGGGGGCAUUCAAGACCCACAGGAAGCCCGCCUUGCGUCCUGCUGGCCCGCACUGCCCCCGCCUCCCGGCGUCCCGUGGCUCUCCUCCUCUGGUUGUGCUAAUGUUUGUUAAAAGAAUGAGAAGAGAAAAUUAGAGCUCUAGGUGUCAGACCGCCAACAGUCUGUGCCCCGAUUUCGUAUAGGACCCCAGAGCUCCAGAGCUGUGCUGCCCCCACCCCCACCCCCCGCCGGAGUGAAGGGUGCCAGGUAGUGGCCCAGGGAAAGAGUCCCUGGGAUUCAGCUCCUCUUGCCUCUCCAGCUUGCUUUUGUUUUUUCUUUUUCUUUUUUUUGUACCAGGGAUUGUUGAACCAAGAGUGCUUAACCAUUGAGCAUCCCCAGUUCUUUUUCUUUUCAUUUUGAGACAAGGUCUCACUAAGUUGCUUUAGGCCUCACUAAAUUGCUGAGGCUGGCUUUGGACUUUCCAUCCUCUUGUCUCAACCUCCCGAGUAGCUGGGAUUUAUAGGGAUGCACCACCAUGCC